UACGUGGGGGGCAAGCGUUGUUCGGAAUUAUUGGGCGUAAAGGGCUCGUAGGCGGUUUGUCGCGUCGGGAGUGAAAACGCCGUGCUUAACACGGCGCUUGCUUUCGAUACGGGCAGACUAGAGGUAUGCAGGGGAGAACGGAAUUCCUGGUGUAGCGGUGAAAUGCGCAGAUAUCAGGAGGAACACCGGUGGCGAAGGCGGUUCUCUGGGCAUUACCUGACGCUGAGGAGCGAAAGUGUGGGGAGCGAACAGG
rnacentral:rRNA from 1 species